UACGGAGGAUCCGAGCGUUAUCCGGAUUUAUUGGGUUUAAAGGGUGCGUAGGCGGCCUAUUAAGUCAGGGGUGAAAGACGGCAGCUUAACUGUCGCAGUGCCUUUGAUACUGAUGGGCUUGAAUGUGGUUGAAGAUGGCGGAAUGAGACAAGUAGCGGUGAAAUGCAUAGAUAUGUCUCAGAACUCCGAUUGCGAAGGCAGCUGUCUAAGUCAUUAUUGACGCUGAUGCACGAAAGCGUGGGGAUCGAAC
rnacentral:rRNA from 1 species